CACGGGGGGAGCAAGCGUUGUUCGGAAUGACUGGGCGUAAAGGGCGCGUAGGCGGUUUGUACAGUCAGGUGUGAAAUUCCCGGGCUCAACCUGGGGGCUGCACUUGAUACGUAUGGACUGGAGUGGGGAAGAGGGUCGUGGAAUUCCCAGUGUAGAGGUGAAAUUCGUAGAUAUUGGGAAGAACACCGGUGGCGAAGGCGGCGACCUGGUCCUUGACUGACGCUGAGGCGCGAAAGCGUGGGGAGCAAACAGG
rnacentral:rRNA from 1 species